rnacentral:rRNA from 1 species
GACGAACGCUGGCGGCGUGCUUAACACAUGCAAGUGGAGCGACGAACCGGUCUUCGGACCGGGGCAGAGCCGCGAACGGGUGAGUAACACGUGGGUAACCCACCCCGAUGACCGGGACAACCCGAGGAAACUCGGGCUAAUACCGGAUGAGCUCUCAUCUUUUGAGAGAUGUGAGGAAAGAUAGCUUCGGCCUUCGCAUCGGGACGGGCCCGCGGCCCAUUAGCUUGUUGGUGGGGUAACGGCCUACCAAGGCGACGAUGGGUAGCUGGUCUGAGAGGACGAUCAGCCACACUGGGACUGAGACACGGCCCAGACUCCUACGGGAGGGCAGCAGUGGGGAAUCUUGCACAAUGCGCGAAAGCGUGAUGCAGCAACGCCGCGUGGGGGAAGAAGGCCUCGGUU